UUUCCGUAGGUGAACCUGCGGAAGGAUCAUUAUUGUAUAACCAAGGUGCAAGGCCUGUCGCUGACCCACUACUUCGUGCAGGCACGAGGGCCCGCCGACACAUGCAUAUCACCCCUAUGUGCACCACGGCGCGGGUCCCCCUUUAGCUUGUUCGGAGGGGGGGUUACGUUUUUUCACAAACUUUGAAUGCAGUGUAGGAUGUCUUUUUUGUUUUUUCGAACUCGCAAUCAGUCCAACUUUCAACAACGGUUCUCUUGGCACUCGCAUCGAGGAGGAACG
rnacentral:misc_RNA from 1 species